rnacentral:rRNA from 1 species
GAUGAACGCUAGCGGGAGGCCUAACACAUGCAAGCCGAGCGGUAGAAGAUCUUCGGAUCUUUGAGAGCGGCGUACGGGUGCGGAACACGUGUGCAACCUGCCUUUAUCAGGGAGAUAGCCUUUCGAAAGGAAGAUUAAUAUCCCAUAAUAUUUUGAAUGGCAUCAUUUAAAAUUGAAAGCUCCGGCGGAUAGAGAUGGGCACGCGCAAGAUUAGAUAGUUGGCGGGGUAACGGCCCACCAAGUCAAUGAUCUUUAGGGGGCCUGAGAGGGUGAUCCCCCACACUGGUACUGAGACACGGACCAGACUCCUACGGGAGGCAGCAGUGAGGAAUAUUGGACAAUGGGUGAGAGCCURAUCCAKCCAUCCYGCGUGAAGGACGACGGCCSUAUGGGUUGUAAACUUCUU